rnacentral:rRNA from 1 species
GACGAACGCUGGCGGCGUGCUUAACACAUGCAAGUCGAACGGAAAGGCCUGCUUUCCCUUGUGGAUUGCGGGUACUCGAGUGGCGAACGGGUGAGUAACACGUGAGUGAUCUGCCCCCAACUUGGGUAUAAGCCUGGGAAACUGGGUCUAAUUCCCGAUAGGACUGCAGGGUGGUGCCUGUGGUGGAAAACGAUUUUCUAGUGGUUGGGGAUGAGCUCGCGGCCUAUCAGCUUGUUGGUGGGGUAAUGGCCUACCAAGGCGGCGACGGGUAGCCGGCCUGGGAGAGUGGACGGCCACAUUGGGACUGAGAUACGGCCCAGACUCCUACGGGAGGCAGCAGUGGGGAAUAUUGCACAAUGGACGGAAGCCUGAUGCAGCGACGCCGCGUGGGGGAUGACGGCCUUCGGGUUGUAAACUCCUUUCGGCCGCGAGGAAGCCACCUGGUUGGAAGGGUGGUGACGGUAGUGGUAGAAGAAGCACCGGCUAACUACGUG